rnacentral:snRNA from 1 species
CGAAGAAUGGCGCAACAAG